rnacentral:rRNA from 1 species
AAUAGAUACCCUGGUAGUCCACGCUGUAAACGUUGGACACUAGGUGUGGCGGUCUGAUCAACGACUGCCGUGCCGAAGCUAACGCAUUAAGUGUCCCGCCUGGGGAGUACGGCCGCAAGGCUAAAACUCAAAGGAAUUGACGGGUCCCCGCACAAGCGGCGGAGCAUGCGGCUUAAUUCGAUGCAACCCGAAGAACCUUACCUGGGUUUGAUAUCAUGGGAAAAGCCGUGGAAACACGGUGUCCGUAAGGGCCCAUGACAGGUGGUGCAUGGCUGUCGUCAGCUCGUGUCGUGAGAUGUUGGGUUAAGUCCCGCAACGAGCGCAACCCUUGUCCUAUGUUGCCAGCGGUUCGGCCGGGGACUCAUAGGAGACUGCCGGGGAUAACUCGGAGGAAGGUGAGGACGAUGUCAAGUCAUCAUGCCCCUUAUAUCCAGGGCUGCACGCAUGCUACAAUGGUCGGUACAACGGGCAGCGAUCCUGCGAAGGUGAGCGAAUCCCACAAAGCCGGCCUCAGUUCGGAUUGG